CACUAUCUCACAUAAGAUGACAGGGAGGUGGAUUGAAAACCGGCUGAAUGGCCAGGCACAGAGGAUGGUGAUCAGUGGCACAGAGUUUAGUUGGAGG